rnacentral:lncRNA from 1 species
CACAUUGUACUUCCUCCUACCAAUCACAGUGUUGUAGGAUCACAGUGUUGUAGGAUCACAGUGUUGUAGGAUCACAGUGCUGUAGGAUCACAGUGUUGUAGCCCUGAAUUAAAGUCUCUCCAAAUCCACCAAUAUCCCCCAUUUUAUAGUUCAAUCUGUGAUUACAGCAAUGUCCCAGAGGAGAGCAGCACAUGAAUACAAGGUAUUAAGGAAUGAUUAUAUUUCAAUGACUGGCAAUACAGCUUGAUCAUUUCUGGUGAGAAGUUGAAUUAAUAUGAAAUGAGUUCCUUUAAAAAGUAUCCGUCUUGAUGAUUAUAGUGUAGAUGUAAAUGGAAAAUGUAUUAGCAUGAGGAUUUCACUAGCAACAGAACGGACGUCACAUUCCCAAGCUAAUUCCAGAAGAGAACGGACGUCACAUUCCCAAGCUAAUUCCAGAAGAGAACGGACGUCACAUUCCCAAGCUAAUUCCAGAAGAGAACGGACGUCACAUUCCUAAGCUAAUUCCAGAAGAGAACGGACGUCACAUUCCCAAGCUAAUUCCAGAACAGAACGGAGGUCACAUUCCAAAGCUUAUUCCAGAACAGAACAGAGGUCACAUUCCAAAGCUUAUUCGAGAACAGAACGGAGGUCACAUUCCCAAGCUAAUUCCAGAAGAGAACGGACGUCACAUUCCCAAGCUAAUUCCAGAAGAGAACGGACGUCACAUUCCAAAGCUUAUUCCAGAACAGAACAGAGGUCACAUUCCAAAGCUUAUUCGAGAACAGAACGGAGGUCACAUUCCAAAGCUUAUUCCAGAACAGAAUGGACGCCACAUCUCCAAGCUAAUUCCAGAAGAGAACAGAUGUGACAUCCAAAGCUAAUUCCAGAAGAGAACGGACGUCACAUUCCCAAGCUAAUUCCAGAACAGAACGGAGGUCACAUCUCCAUGCUAAUUCCAAAAUAGAACUGACCUCACAUUCCCAUGCUAAUUCCAGAACAGAAGACACAGUUACCCUAGAUGUUCACGUUUAGUAGAAUUAGGAGUGUGAUUAGACAUACUUUAAGGAGGACGGUGAAAUUCCAUCUCAGUAGACGGUAGAUUGAUAAUGAAACACAGUCACCAUAUGGAGGAGCAUUUCCUCACUAUCCGAAAGACAAAUCUGAUUUGUCCACAGACG